CAUAGCUCAGUUGGAUAGAGCGACAGUCUCCGAAGCUGUAGGUCGGCGGUUCAAAUCCGCCUG
rnacentral:tRNA from 1 species